UACAGAGGUCUCAAGCGUUGUUCGGAUUCAUUGGGCGUAAAGGGUGCGUAGGCGGCGCGGUAAGUCGGGUGUGAAAUCUCGGAGCUUAACUCCGAAGCUGCAUUCGAUACUGCCGUGCUUGAGGACUGGAGAGGAGACUGGAAUUUACGGUGUAGCGGUGAAAUGCGUAGAUAUCGUAAGGAAGACCAGUGGCGAAGGCGGGUCUCUGGACAGUUCCUGACGCUGGGGCACGAAGGCCAGGGGAGCAAACGGG
rnacentral:rRNA from 1 species